rnacentral:rRNA from 1 species
AUUGAACGCUGGCGGCAGGCUUCACACAUGCAAGUCGAACGAGUGGCGGACGGGUGAGUAAUGCUUGUGAAUCUGGCUUAUGGAGGGGGAUAACGACGGGAAACUGUCGCUAAUACCGCGUACCAUAGGAUUAGUCCAAGAGGGAUUAGGUAGUUGGUGGGGUAAUGGCCUACAAAGCCGACGAUCUCUAGCUGGUCUGAGAGGAUGACCGGCCAAACCGGGACUGUGACACGGCCCGGACUCCGACGGGAGGCAGCAGUGGGGAAUUUUGGGCAAUGGGGGCAUCCUGACGCAGCCAUGCCGCGUGAAUGAAGAGGGCCUUCGGGUUGUAAGGUUCGUUCGGUGACGAGGCGUUAAUCACAGAGGAAGCACCGGCUAACUCCGUGCCAGCAGCCGCGGUAAUAC